UUCCGAGUCCGGCGGACUAAGUAGGCCAGCCCCACCCCCCAAGGCUAUAGCCCACCCGUUUUUGUGGCCUUUUUCCGCUGGACGAACUUGGCGCCCCGGCCUUCGGGCGGUUAUUUUUGGGCGCGGUUUUGGCUGCGGCCUAUUUUUGGCACACGGAGACCCCUCGAAAAGUCUCGCGGCAUUCCGAGUCCGGCGGACGAAGUUGGCCAGCCCCUCCCCCCAAGGCUAUAGCCCACCCGUUUUUGUGGCCUUUUUCCGCUGGACGAACUUGGCGCCCCGGCCUUCGGGCGGUUAUUUUUGGGCACGGCUUUGUCCGUGGCCUA
rnacentral:lncRNA from 1 species